rnacentral:rRNA from 1 species
CAGUAGCCACGGGAACACGGAGGGGGCUAGCGUUGUUCGGAAUUACUGGGCGUAAAGCGCACGUAGGCGGCUUGGUAAGUUAGAGGUGAAAGCCUGGAACUCAACUCCAGAAUUGCCUUUAAGACUGCCGAGCUAGCAGGUGAGAGAGGUAAGUGGAAUUCCGAGUGUAGAGGUGAAAUUCGUAGAUAUUCGGAAGGAACAUCUGUGGCGAAGGCGACUAUCUGGGCCAACACUGACACUGAGGCACGAAAGCGUGGGGAGCAAACAGGAUUAGAUACCCGCGUAGUCCCUGUCUCUUAUA